CUCUCUAAAUCUUUAACGCUUCCAUCUUCCCCAAAAAAGUAAAAUAUUCUAGAAAAAUAUACUAUAAUUAAAUAUAGUUUCUCCAUUCGUUUCUUUCCUUCUUCUCUUUUCUCUCUCUUUCUCUCACUUUUCUAUAAUCCUAGGCAACAAUCUCUCUACCAAUGGGGUUGGUAACAUAGUGGUGAAAAUGUCCUCAACCCAUCACCGCUUGACUCGGUUGGUUAUGGGUUCGAGUUUUGACAUGUCCCACUAUCGCCUAUUGAUUCUGCGGAAGCAUUGCUUGUCGUACUGGGGCUAUGAAAAAACCCUUGCUUACAUCUCUCUUUCGCAUCAAGGUAAGAUACUAUGUAGAAAUAGGUCUUCCUUCAUUGUGCCUUUUACUGUGAAUGCAUCAAUAUGUUUUUUUGUUUCUCAAUGUUUUUCUUCUGCUUUAUCUAUGUUUUAAGGUAAAAAUUUUCUCCUGUAUGACAUGUAUUGAUACAUCCACCACUAAAACUUAGAAUGUGAAAAGAAAAUCCCCCUCUCUGUUUUUCUCCUCCAUGUAAAUUUUCACAGGUGGAGGUCUACGUCUUCGACAGUGGUGGUUCAGUUCUUCACUGGGAGCCAUUAGAGGACGUUAGCGUCUCUUAAUCAUCUUCCUGUCUAUAAUUUUUUAAUAUUUAUUUGUGGCCGAUUGUGUGAAUUUGAUUCCUUCUCAUGCGCCAGAAAAGAGGUAAGAAAUCUGAAAAAACUACUCAUCAACCCAUCCACUCUGCCCAACCCCCUUCUCUGAAAUCCUCCCUCGAUUCACUGUCUCCCAUUCUCCCUCCAUCUUCUGUUAGAGAAGCGGUGCUCUGGCUUUCACGCAUGAGAUCUGCGAAACACCAAAAAACACCCUAUGCCCACCAAUCGUUUGUUAUAAUGCUCAGCCCCCCUUCGCCAGGAUGCCAUUCAGUUAAUAGAUCACUUUUUAAUAUUCUUUAUGGCUCAUCUUCUUUCUCGGCAAAAUCUCAAUGCAUGCAGGUUUAAUCUUGUGAGGGUCUGCAGUGCCCUCACACCAAGGGCUAUGGUAAUUCUAAGGAUGAAUAGAUUACAGCUGACAUUACUUCAGCCCAUGGGACAUCUAUUUGAGUAUACACACAAGAAGUUGAAAGUUCCCUUCAAAGCUUUUUAUGUAGAAUUCAGGGGUGUCAUUCAACGAGCCAUCUAGGUUUCUGUGAUAUUUUAUACUAUGAUCCAGGUGAAGAAGGAUCAAGUGUAGGUUCUAUAGCUACUUCAGCACUAAGCACCCUCACCAUUAGUGUUCCAGAGACUAAGCUAAUCACAACAGCCAGAAUUUCACAAUCAGUUUGAUGUGCUUAAAAAGGGCAGGAGAGGGGGGGGUGACCAGAAAAUGCUGACCCUGCUGUAAGAGAAAGCUUGAGACAGCCUCUAUAUUCCCCUGGGUAGUCUAUUCUAACUACUCUGCCAAAAGCCAUUUCGCAUUCUGUCAAAAACAGAAUGCAAACAGGCCUUCCUAACCAAUUAAGGCGGAGACAUUAAGGGCUGCGAGUGAUCCCCCUAAAAAAAUCAAUCAUAAAAUUAGUCCUGAAUUAUCAUGAAGUUUAGUCCUGUUUGCAUUUAUACAGGUUCUAACCUCAUUGUAUUAUCAUCAUAAGCUUGUUAUAAUACAAUCUGGUAUUUAAGCCAAGGGGAAGGUAAAUUAUAUGCUCCUUGAAUAAUCAUACCUGGUAUACAGUUUCCUUCCUAUGAUUGAUGAUGUUGUUAUCCUAGGUGAAACAAGUGGAGGAUAUGCAUGGGUAACAAAAUAUGCGACCUGCUUGACUAUUAGGAAAAUAAUAUUUUGAUGUUGGAGAAAUGUUCCCGGUCUUUCCACUCUACCAUGAACGGUUUGGAGACUCUAAACCCUCCUACUUUGUUCCUUUCUGUAGAAUCGUCUCUGCUUCUUGUAAUGAUCUGGUGGAGGUCGUUCUUCUAUCUCUGAAGUACUCUAAAACCCUCUCUCUCUCUCUCUCUCUCUCUCUCUCUCUCUCUCUCUCAUGUGCUUUAAAACCCAACCCUCUCUCAGUAAUCGUGCAAGAAAAUAAAUCCUUCAAUGCACUAGAGCACGAAGCAGAAGUUUCCAAAGUGUGAGAGAUCAUCAAUAGGAAUGAAACCAUGCUUAUCCAGCAUGAUGAGAAUGUCGAGCAAGACCACGCCCAAGACGCCGUCGCUAUUUUCUUCCCCAAGACUGCCCAGAUUUCAGCUGAAGAGGGUGUCUCUGUGGGGCUUGCCUAGGAUUCUUGCGAGUUUACGUGCACAUCUCUACGAAAGCGUUUUCUACGGAAAACAAUCUUCUGUUUUUCUCAUCCCUGUUUUUCCUUGUUUUGCUACCUGCAGAACACGAUACGUGGACAACUUUAAGACCAACGCACCGGAUGUAAUAAUCUUCACCCAACCUUGACCGUUGAUCUUAAAGUUGUCCACGUGUCGUGUUCUGCAGGUAGCAAAACAAGGAAAAACAGGGAUGAGAAAAACAGAGGAUUUUGAUCCGUUUUCUACUUCCAUAGGUGCGUCUAGAUUCAGACGCCGCUUUGCAGUCUAAGCCAAAUCUCAGUGUUGGAAGUAGUGUCGAUCCCCAUCGGUAGUUGGUGAAUCUACAAUGUGUAUAGUAUUUGAGAUCCCCCAAGUUAUUUCUUCUUUUUGUAAUCAAGAAAGAACUAUUUAUCAUUAGUGAGCAUUUGACUGAAAAGUGUUUGUUCAACGAGGCUUUUUAACA